CCUGGCUCAGAGCGAACGCUGGCGGCAGGCCUAACACAUGCAAGUCGAACGGAUCCUUCGGGAUUAGUGGCGGACGGGUGAGUAACACGUGGGAACGUGCCUUUUGGUUCGGAACAACUCAGGGAAACUUGAGCUAAUACCGGAUAAGCCUUUCGAGGGAAAGAUUUAUCGCCAUUAGAGCGGCCCGCGUAGGAUUAGCUAGUUGGUGGGGUAAAGGCCCACCAAGGCUACGAUCCUUAGCUGGUCUGAGAGGAUGAUCAGCCACAUUGGGACUGAGACACGGCCCAAACUCCUACGGGAGGCAGCAGUGGGGAAUCUUGCGCAAUGGGCGAAAGCCUGACGCAGCCAUGCCGCGUGAAUGAUGAAGGUCUUAGGAUUGUAAAAUUCUUUCACCGGGGACGAUAAUGAC
rnacentral:rRNA from 1 species